UACAGAGGGGCAAGCGUUGUUCGGAAUUACUGGGCGUAAAGGGCGCGUAGGCGGCCCGCUAAGUCGAACGUGAAAUCCCUGGGCUCAACCCAGGAACUGCGUCCGAUACUGGCAGGCUUGAAUCCGGGAGAGGGAUGUGGAAUUCCAGGUGUAGCGGUGAAAUGCGUAGAUAUCUGGAGGAACACCGGUGGCGAAGGCGGCAUCCUGGACCGGUAUUGACGCUGAUGCGCGAAAGCCAGGGGAGCAAACGGGG
rnacentral:rRNA from 1 species